rnacentral:rRNA from 1 species
UACGGGGGGGGCGAAGCGUUGUCCGGAAUCAUUGGGCGUAAAGCGCGUGUAGGCGGUUCGGUAAGUCUGCUGUGAAAGUCCAGGGCUCAACCCUGGGAUGCCGGUGGAUACUGUCGAACUAGAGUACGGAAGAGGCGAGUGGAAUUCCCGGUGUAGCGGUGAAAUGCGCAGAUAUCUGGAGGAACACCGGUGGCGAAGGCGGCAUCCUGGACCGGUAUUGACGCUGAGGCGCGAAAGCCAGGGGAGCAAACGGG